AUUGAACGCUGGCGGUAUGCUUAACACAUGCAAGUCGAACGGUAACAGGCUUUCGGGCGCUGACGAGUGGCGGACGGGUGAGUAACGCGUAGGAAUCUGCCUCAUAGUGGGGGACAACGUGGGGAAACUCACGCUAAUACCGCAUACGCCCUACGGGGGAAAGCGGGGGAUCUUCGGACCUCGCGCUAUGAGAUGAGCCUGCGUUAGAUUAGCUAGUUGGUAGGGUAAAGGCCUACCAAGGCGACGAUCUAUAGCUGGUCUGAGAGGAUGAUCAGCCACACUGGAACUGACACACGGUCCAGACUCCUACGGGAGGCAG
rnacentral:rRNA from 1 species